UGUGAGGUUGGCUGCAAGAAUCUGAAGUUAAUCCAAGUGCUCCAGACAAACCCCAGUUCAGAAGAGAGAAAGAAAAAGAAGGAUCCCUUAGAAGGGAGUGAGGAAAGCCAGCAGGCUUUACUUGUUUGUUCUCAUGAGGCCCUGCAAGCUGGGACUAGUAUCAAAAGCUUGCACACUCUCCCUUCCAUCUAUCUCUACGAAAAGCCAGGUCCAGCUGAGAGAACCAGCUCAGCCCCUGCUAGGGUUUUGGGGAGGCGGGAUGAGGUUUUCCCAGGGUGGGCGGUGAGUUUGCACCAUAAAAAGUGGUUCCUUUUGGUAGUAUUUGAAUGCCUGUUUACUCUUGGGUAGGGAAAUCCUCUCCUCCCUGAUGGCUAUAAAUCCUCUUCAGCUCAACCUUGGUCUCUCAUCCCUUCUUCCUCCUCCUCUUCGUCUCCUUUCAGAGGCUGUUUGGCCUAGGGUUUUAGAUCCAGUGGUGUGGUGUUCCUUUUCUCCAUGGGAAGAGUUGUGUUUGUGAGAGAGGAAGAGGAAGGAUGAGGAAUGGCCUCUUCACUGCCUUCCACCGAGCAAAGUAUUGGGUGUCUUUCUUCCAUACAGAGCGGAGAUCAUGGUUGGAAAGAGCACAGGACUCAAGGGGGCUUGUCACCAAGCUCAUGUCAGAGAUAGAGAACUAGAGGUUUAGAUAAGUGUGAUCCUUUGUCAUUUGUUUGGGUGAGAGGAUGUAAGUGUGAUUUAGUCUAUGAAACAACAUCUUCUUUACUUGUUAGUGAUAUUUUAUAGAAAGAGCAUACGAUCUUCUGAACGAUAUAGAAAUAGAAGCUGUUUUUGCACUACACCUGUAUAGAUGAGACCAAAGAUUCCGUGACAUGUGUUUGUGGAGAAAGUUGUAUGAUUCUUUCAAGCGUCAGUAUGUGUGAGUAAAGGGUAGAGACAUUUUUAGUAGUUUUGUCUACAAUAUUUCAUGCCUCUCAUCCUUUGUUCCCUUUUUCUUUGUUUGCAAUUAUUUAUGUUGCGCUUUCUGCUUUGUUCGAAUCCAUGGAUUGCAUUGUUAUUCCUGUAUUGGUUUCCAAGUGCAAGUCAUUCUCUCUGCUGAGCUUUUCUAGGGUUCGGGUUGAUGUGUCAGAUCCUUGAGAGAUUCUUGGAUGGGACUUGAGGUGUGCAUCUCUCUCUCACAUAUGUGAUCUCAUACAUAUAUGCUAUGAUACCCUAAAGAACAUGUGAGCAUCAUAUGUGAUCUCAUAGUUGUUCUCCCUCUUUCCGAUGAUGAGACUGUGCAGAUGAUAUCCAUGUCACAGCCAUUCAUAUGCUUUCACUUUUGUUUUCCUGGCACAGAUUCAUGUAUAUAUGCACAUGAUUUUAUGGUCUAUUAGCUACUGAGGACACAAGUCUGGGAGCUCUCAUUUCAUCUUAUGCAGCUGAUCACCAUGAGAUCCAAUCCCUCAAAGAGAGAAGAAACUGUAGCUCUUGGGCUUUGAUCUCUCACUACUUGGAUCCUAUAUAAUUUCCCUACAAGCUCAUUGCUUGUGUGCUUUCUGCAUUCAAUCUGGAGUCAUGCAUACAUCCUUCUCACAAUGUCGGCAACAGUUGUAAGUUAGUAGUGAUACGAGUACAUAGGAUUACCUCUGAUAUGAAAGCUUCGCUAACUUCUCCCCUUGAGAAAAGCUCAACCCGUUGGUCUUCCUUCUCUCUCAUUAUUUUGCAUGGUGGUGCAGGCGAGAGGGGUCCUCGCCACAGGUGCCUCUCCAUUGGAUUGGAGCCACCAGAAUGCGAGGCACUGGUUUUGGUCUGCUCAUGCAUGGCACUUCACUUUUCUUUUGCCUUGCUUUUGUUGGUGAUGGUGCAAGCAAGAAGAGCCCAAGUGUUUUGGCUCCCAGCUUUCUACCCUUCCGAGGACUGAGCAGCUUUGCAUGUCACCCAAAAGGAACUCUCAGGUCUCGGGAAAAGAAGCCUAUCCAACAAAAUCCCCACUUCUGCUGUUCUCAAGUUGUGUAUACAAAGAUUAAAGAUGCUGCCACUAUUAUACCAAGGGAAUAUAUAUAUAUACAUAUAUAUAUUAUAUCUUCACAAAUAAAUCAUGACUGCAUGUAUAAUCUUCUUAGCUAUUGUUGAGACAUGAAUCUUGGGAGUGAGUUAAACUUGCUGUUCCAGUGUUGCCAUGGAUGCAUACCGAAUACCAAAUGCAGUCUUUGUGACAGCAUCUGAGAUGGACAGACAGACUUUAGUUAGUCAUCGAUGGAACACUGUGAUUGACUAUUCGGUCAGUGCAUCAAAUGAUAGGAGUCGAUCAUUAUGGACAAAGCCAAAAGACAAUGUGUGGUUAGCGAGGCCUACUCGCACAUGGGUGUACAAUAAAAAGGCAUGAGAAAGAGGGAGGCUCCAUCACAGGAGAGAACUCAUAGUCCUUCAUUUUGGUUAAUGGUUGUAAAGCAGGUGCAACAACCAAGAUAGGAAGUACAAAAAGGAUUUGAUGUGAGUAGAGAUGAGCGAGCAGCUAAGUCUAGGUGUUUGUUUCUUCUUGGAUUGGCCGGGCAAAGGAGAUGAAAAGAUUAGGAGACAAGGAGAUGGUUUGAAGAGGCUAACUCUUUUCAUCUUCGAAACAGUGCGCUGCUUGGCUCUCAACAUUCUUUGUCCUUAACAAUGUUGAAACAGUAAGCCGAGUCAAAGAAAGAUGGAACAACAUACCAGGUUGUGAUCAUCAUGGUGAUUCCACCACCACAUUUGCUUACCGCAUCGGCUCAGUGUUACAGACUCCAUCAGGAGCUGGAAACUGAGGUGCCACUCCGAACGAGAACGCUCUUGUUGUGUGCUUCACGGAGUCUCAUGUAGAGAGAGAGAGAGAGAGAGAGAGAGAGAGAGAGAGAGAGAGAACAGAUGUUCACAAACUUGAAUGCUUAUUUGCCCGGUGGAUACAUAUCUGCCCUUCCCUCUUGCACAGGCUUUUCUCUCAGUUAAGGAACUACCUGCUCAUGUCCCUCCUGCCGCUGGUGUUGGUGCAGCCUUAGCAUCGAGGACCACCUGAAUCCGAUGGACCACUGAGCUAUAUCCAACUCUCCCAGCCCUGUAGAUGGAUGAUGGGCAAGCGCAGAUGGGUGUGGUCUUGACAAACAAGGGAGCUUGCAAGCCUGACACAUUGAGAGCAAUGGAACCAUGUCCUCCUGGCCAUGGAUGCCAGCCUGAGAAGAGAGAACCAACCUGACCUGUGGUCUCUGGCCAAGGCAGAAAAAGCCAGCACCGAGUGAUAUUAAUUGGGUGGAUCGAAACCCUAAAGGACUCGGAAAAAGCAAAGGCAAGCAGCAGCCUUCUGAUCUACCAGCCAAUUGGGCAUGUUGAGAGACAGGAACCUAGCUGCACAUCCAGGGUGGGAAAAGGACAACAGCAAAAGUACCUUUGGUGUGGAACUAGUGCAGGGCUACUAUACCAGCUAACCAGCUACACCCCAUGAUGCUCAUACACAUCACAUGUACCAUCCCUGGAAGAGAAAAUGCAUCCAAGCAGAAGAAAAAGAAAGAGAGAGAGAGAGAGA